UACGAAGGGAGCUAGCGUUGUUCGGAAUCACUGGGCGUAAAGCGCACGUAGGCGGAUGUGUCAGUCAGGGGUGAAAUCCCGGAGCUCAACUUCGGAACUGCCCUUGAUACAGCACGUCUUGAGUCCGGAAGAGGUGGGUGGAAUUCCUAGUGUAGAGGUGAAAUUCGUAGAUAUUAGGAAGAACACCGGUGGCGAAGGCGGCCCACUGGUCCGGUACUGACGCUGAGGCACGAAAGCGUGGGGAGCAAACAGG
rnacentral:rRNA from 1 species